ACAGCAGUCGCCGCGGUAAUACGGAGGGUGCAAGCGUUAAUCGGAAUUACUGGGCGUAAAGCGCACGCAGGCGGUCUGACAAGUCAGAUGUGAAAUCCCCGGGCUUAACCUGGGAACUGCAUUUGAAACUGUCAGGCUGGAGUCUUGUAGAGGGGGGUAGAAUUCCAGGUGUAGCGGUGAAAUGCGUAGAGAUCUGGAGGAAUACCGGUGGCGAAGGCGGCCCCCUGGACAAAGACUGACGCUCAGGUGCGAAAGCGUGGGGAGCAAACAGGAUUAGAUACCCCCGUAGUCCUGUCUCUUAUACC
rnacentral:rRNA from 1 species